GUAAUGGCGCCGACGCCACUGUCUGGUAUGAAUGACGACUGUUUGCGUUUCGUUCUCCUCACUAUCAGACUUAGAGACUUCUCCGUCCCGUCAAUAAAGACAACGCAGCCAAUGUUAUCAGUGUUACACAUUUCGGAUAAAGAAGGGAUCAGCCGGGCGGUGCUGUGUUUAGAGGUCAUGCAUUCACCAGACGCCAGCAUUCUGUUCGACAGAGACAGAAAUGGCCUCUGUGACACUAACUUGAAAGGAAUGCUUGCUAUUCGAGGCACCGUUGUAGAAGCCGUGGCAAUACUUCAUUAGCUAGCACACAGACCUGCCCUCCACACCCAACAGGCCUUUCUUGGAAGACAGGUUUUAAAGAAAAACGUAACAACAGAGAGAGCGAGAGAGGGGAGUCUGAGCUUGAUGACCCUGCAAGCCGAUUACAGGCCAUCCCGUGCUGCACACAAAGCCCUGUGAGGCCUUCUCAGCCUGCACCGUCGAAAACAACUGCAGCAAAGAGUCUGCAGACAAUAUGAACUGUCAUCGGCCUCACAAUGGUGAUUCACCAUAAAUGGUAAAUGGACUGUACUGCAUAGCGCUUUUCGACUCUUCUGACCACUCAAAGCGCUUUAAGACUACAUGACAUCAUUCACCCAUUCACACCCAUUCAUACACUGAUGACAGGAGAACCAAACACAGUGACACCUGCACAUCAGUAACUGACACACUGUAGUCGCAGCUACAGGAGCAACGUUGGGGUGUGUGCACCGUGUGUGCAAGGACACAUCAACAUGCGGGUUAGCAGAGCCUGGGAUCAAACCGACAACCCUCUGACUGGAGGACGACCGUGCUCCCCACUGUGAACAGUGCUGAGCCUUGUGGGAAAGCUUCCGUGUGCCAUCAGUGUGUGAUUUCUUGAACUGUUGACACUAAAACAACACAAAGCUUUGUGUGGGUUGAACUUCGUGGACGCUUUUUUAGCAGCAGUGCUAUACGCUAAAGGUUUUUAAGAUAAUCAAAUGUAAUAAAGUACUGAAUAUAACAUUCAGUUUAUGAACUCAAUGAAUAAAAGGAUAAAAUGAUUUUUGCAGGGAUGCCAAAUUUGAAUUUGUUUAAAAAAAGAAACUCAUGUAAUCCAAGGAGUGGCUUCAAGUAUCUCACAUACCUCCAGAGUCAAAUAAAAGUAACACCACUGCAGAUUGUCCUCUGCCCUCUGAGAGGCGCCACAGAGCCUGCGUGCCACAACAAGAGGACAACAUCAGCUGCUUUUGGUCCACGGAACAAUCCACGUAAAUAACCCCAUAGAGCUUCCGGAAAAGGAAUGACUUCAUUUGAAAGGUGUCCCAAACUCAAACCAGGUGCGAGCCAGAUGCAGCCCACCUCCACCGAACGCGGGCCGGACCAUCACGGUUGACGGGGGUGGCGGCGCUGACGGUCCGACCGGCGAACGGUACGGUCGACGGGGGGGGGUGCCAAAGUCGGUACCCCCCGGCGGGCCGGAUAUGGCCCGCGAGCCGGAGUUUGAGACCCCUGUUCUAGCUGAUCAUCAACAAAUGGAACUGGAAAUACAUGUGAUAUGUCGCAACACCCUCGAACUGUAACACUAUUAAUGAUAAAGUACAGCCUCUUAUACCUUAUUGCUUAAGUUUUGUCUGUUUUUGCCUGUUAUUCAUUUAUUUAUUCAAUUUGAGUUAGUUUGUUAACAAAAAUAAAUAUGUCAGUUUUAUCCUACUAUAUUUUAAUUUAAUUAUUAUUUUUAAUUUAAUGAAUCAAUUUGGCGAUUGGUGCCAUUUUGUUUUGGUUUGAGCACCUGCCCCCCAAAAUGUCUGUGCAGGUGUAACGCGGCUCGGAAGCAUGUGUAGACUUCCAGGCAGGCAGCAAAGCCAUCGAAGUUCCCGAGAGCGAGAUCACAAAGGCAGGUGGUA
ensembl:lncRNA